AGGAUGUCAAGAUGGCGGUGGUUGAAUAUCAGGAGGAUCCCGGAUCUAGACAGAUGACGCUCAUUUUAUAUGAUACUAGUUCUAGCUAUGAGCCCAAGAGUGAUGCCCAUGUGUUAGUGAAAAUUACUUAAUGCAAAAGAGGUCAUCUUAUUUUGGGACAUCCAAAACUGGAACACUAAAUGUAAUCCAGUCCCAAGGAAGGAGCUAAAGAAUAACUACAUUAAGCCAAUCAUAAGAACGGUAGUGUUUUAUGUUUGUUUUUAAAGCUGGCCAGGAAGAAAGCCAUGGCCAAGAAGUCGUGAGAGAACCCCCCAGCGAAAGUAUGAUAUGGAAGCACUCAAACAGUUGAGAAAGAACAAACACUACACACCAAUGAUAAGUAGAUAACAGCAGGAUGACUGACAAGAGAAAAGCACACUACAAGAAAGGAACUUCCAGAAGUGCUAAAAAAAAAAAAAAAAAAAAAAAAGGAGAGCAGGAUGCGUGACUGGAGAGAAAGCUAUACACAAGCAAUACAAGGGGGCCAGAGAGAAAACUACCAGAAGAGCUAUGAGAGACGGCAAGAAGACUGACUGCAGAAAAAAAGCUCCACUCACUACAAGGAUAUGACUGAUUGGAGAGAGAACCCCACACGCUACAUGGAUUAGUGAGACAGCAUGAUGACUGUAUCCAAACUCCCCCCACACACAACAAGGAAGAAGAAACGACCGGAAGAGCCUUGAGAGAAGGCCUGACAUCCACUCACUACAAGGAUAUGACUGAUUGGAGAGAGAACCCCACACGCUACAUGGAAUAGUGAGAGCAUGAUGACUGGCUGGAUACAAACUCCCACACACACAACAAGGAAGAAGAAAUGACCGGAAGAGCCUUGAGAGAGGAGCGAGACAGUUGGAUAACUGAUUGUAGAGAGCGCUACACUACUAGAAAGAGGGGAACUACCAGAAGAGCCAGAGAGGGGUAACAGGAUGAUUGGAGAGAAAGCCCCCCACACCACAAAAAGUCGUUAAUUAGGAGGAUGACUGACUGAAGAGA